rnacentral:rRNA from 1 species
UACGGGGGGAGCAAGCGUUGUUCGGAUUUACUGGGCGUAAAGGGCGCGUAGGCGGUCGUGACAAGUCACUUGUGAAAUCUCCGGGCUUAACUCGGAACGGUCAAGUGAUACUGUCGGACUAGAGUACAGAAGGGGCAACUGGAAUUCUCGGUGUAGCGGUGAAAUGCGUAGAUAUCGAGAGGAACACCUGCGGCGAAGGCGGGUUGCUGGGCUGAUACUGACGCUGAGGCGCGAAAGCCCAGGGGAGCAAACAGG